AGUUAAAUCCUAGGGUUUCAUAAAUCCUUCCUCCCCAUUUCCGCCGCCACGGUGAAGCUUGCAGAAAUCUUCACUGGAGCUGUGUGAUCGUCGUCGAUUUGAUCUGAUCUGAUCGGUGACAGACUUGCCUGAGCAGCGCCGAUCACCUAACCUGUUGCAGAUCUGUCUUAGCUGCACACAACAUGGAGAUUUCAUCACUUUAGACUGCCGACUGUAGCUUUCCGGCGUCUUAUCAAUCAGAAAUCUUCCACCGAAGCUGUGUGUUCGUCGUGGAUCUGAACUGAUCUGUGACAGACUUGUCUGAUCAGCGCCGAUCACUUACACUGCAUGGAGAUUUCAUCACCUCAGACUGCCGAUAGUAGCUUUCCGGCGUCUUAUCAACCAGAUGAACUGUACAACCAUGGAGAACACUAUCUAAGGAGGAAUCCUAUGCUUUAAAUAAAGACCGAUGAACUAAAAAGAUGCAGAACUCUAUAUAAGGAAGAACUCUAAUCUGUAAAUAAAGGUUGUGGAUCGCUGAAGGAAUAAUACAAGUCCUAUUCAAUGGAAAUCUCAACAAAGUUGCCUAUUACCUUAUUCUAAGGGGGGCAUUCAGGUACGUUUUAUUUGAAUAAAUGAAUUAUU